rnacentral:rRNA from 1 species
CCUACGGGAGGCAGCAGUGAGGAAUAUUGCGCAAUGGGGGAAACCCUGACGCAGUGACGCCGCGUGAGUGAUGAAGGCUUUCGAGUCGUAAAGCUCUGUUAGGUGGAAAGAAAUAUUUCAGUGCCAAUACCACUGGAAUUUGACGGUACCACCAGAGGAAGCACCGGCUAACUCCGUGCCAGCAGCCGCGGUAAUACGGAGGGUGCAAGCGUUGUUCGGAUUUACUGGGCGUAAAGAGCGUGUAGGCGGUUAGGCAAGUCAGAUGUGAAAUCCCUUGGCUCAACUAAGGAAGUGCAUUUGAAACUGCUUAACUAGAGUACAGGAGGGGAAAGUGGAAUUCCCAGUGUAGAGGUGAAAUUCAUAGAUAUUGGGAGGAACACCGGUAGCGAAGGCGGCUUUCUGGCCUGAUACUGACGCUGAGACGCGAAAGCGUGGGGAGCAAACAGGAUUAGAUACCCUGGUAGUCCACGCCGUAAACGAUGGGCACUAGGUGUAGGGAGUGUUGACCCUUUCUGUGCCGAAGCUAACGCAUUAAGUGCCCCGCCUGGGGAGUACGGUCGCAAGGCUAAAACUCAAAGGAAUUGACGG